GUACUUGCUUCCGCAGCACAUAUACUACAGUUGGAAUGAUGCAGAGAAGAUGAGCAUGGUCCUUGAGCAAGGAUGACAUGCAAAUUCAUAAAGCAUUCCAUAGGUUA